GGACACUUCGUUCUUAAAAAUUUGUACUCAUUUGGGAAAGUGACUCUGCUUUUCCUUAUUGCUUAAGGACAUUCAGGCUUCUGACCUGCAAAAGAAUAAAAUAUUCAGCUAAUACUCCCAUCCUUUUCUCCUGAGGAAAGAUGUAGGAGAUGAUAUAAACAAUGAAGGUGCCUGUGAUGAGAUAAUCGCACUUUGACAUGUGACUAGAUUGGUAAUCCCCAGUCAGCAUAGCGUGGCAUUCAAGUUCAUUGUAGCUGAACAUCCAGUAUGAUCUGACAUGCAUAUGCUUGGCCUGGCCAGUUAAAGUCUCCCCACAGAAAAAAGGCUGGAGGAACAGAUCCCCUGUGAUCUGAGCUCAUCACUCCAUUUGCCAGGGUCUCUAGCUUCAGUAGUAAAAUUUGCAUUUUAAUUUCUAAUAUAAUUUUAUUUACAUAAAUCAGUAUUGUAGCACGUAGAGAAGACACACAGAGUGUAAAGUCAGUUUAAAUGCAGUUGUCUUGCAUGAAAAGACCAGAAAAACUAAUCAUCAUUUUGCAGUGAAAACAUAUUAGAAGAAUGUUGGCUUCAAUUGAUUGAUUUGAGAAUUCAGCAAAACCGCAGAGCUGUGCCAUUGGAUCUUGGAGUUGUAAAAGCAGGUGUUAUAUGUGAAUGGAAUGGAAUGGAAUGGAACAAUUGCAAGGGACCUACA